UACAGAGGUCUCAAGCGUUGUUCGGAUUCACUGGGCGUAAAGGGCGCGUAGGCGGCUUGGUAAGGUUGCGGUGAAAGCCCGGGGCUCAACCCCGGGUCGGCCGUGGCAACUGCUGAGCUGGAGCACUGUAGAGGCAGGUGGAAUUCCGGGUGUAGCGGUGGAAUGCGCAGAUAUCAGGAGGAACACCGGUGGCGAAGGCGGAUCUCUGGGCCAUUACUGACGCUGAGGCGCGAAAGCGUGGGGAGCAAACAGG
rnacentral:rRNA from 1 species